AUUCAAUUAGUCAGGUUUCUAGAAGGUGGAGUUGGGUGUUUUUUUUGGCAUGGAGGGGGAGGAGAAGCCUGGGACAACGCCUCCUUUCUCGUGUUUCGAGCCAAUGGCGUCGAUGUAUUAAAAAAAAAAAAAAAAGAAAAAAAUCCCAAUCUGUAAGCAAACAGCAGGCUGUGCGCUGAGUGGCUGCGCGGGCUGACCCCCCCUUCCACAAGUAAACUGCAUGCAAAAACCCCACAUGAUCGAGCAGCAGCGCUCGUGCUCCGGGCCGGCAGCCCGCACCUCCACCUCCUCCUCGCCUCCUUCCCUCCAGCACACCGUCGCCAGCUCCCGCCUCGGAUACACGCGCGUGCAUGUAUUUCAUGUUCCUGGACUGGACCCUGCUUUAUCACAGAAAGGUUCCGGGAGACUGAAGGAGGAGAUUUCCGCACGCCGCCGUAUCGCUCCGUUCGUACCCCUAGCAGGAGAGGCGAGCCAAGACCAGCACCAUCAGAGAGAGGAGUUUGCAGGCUUGAUUUUCUACUCCGAGGUUCUGCUUCUUUUCCACGCCCUCUCAUAAAACAGAUUUUUAAAUUUCCA